ensembl:lncRNA
GCGCAAAAUGUUUUUGUUCAUUGUGUGGUUGAACUUAGCGCGGUUCUAGGCUUCGUUUCUAUUGGUCGCUUGGGUCGCUAUUGCGCGGCGCAAGCAUUAGAAAAGAAUGGGUUAUGGCUUGCCAUAUCGGAGCACAGCGCUGCCGCGUCCCACGUGAAAGGGAAGAAAUCUGAAGCAAGGAGGCGGUCCAAACCCAAACUUCGUGGUUUUGUUCCGUGAUGUCUAAAGACUUUAUACCAUGAUUUUAUUGAACGAGAUGCUGAUGAAGAUGCACGCUGCAAGGUGGAUUUUUCUUUUCACCCUCUGGGUCGUCUGUGUGUCUUCAAAUGAUGAAGAAUCAUGUGAAGAUUUAGGAGAAUUUUGCAGCAUCAGCAGACUGAGCAUUUCACUUGGCUCAUCUGUGCUCCUACCAUGCACUGCUCGACCAACCAGUUCCAACUGGGUGACAUGGAGCCACUUUCCCAAAGGGGAGAUGGUCCAACUGUCACCUUUAGGACAUGUUAAGUACCAGGACCCCAGAAACGGCAGAGUUAAAACCUUUCCAUUUCAGGGCUUGGAGGGAAACUACUCCAUCAGAAUUGAUGAUCUUGGGUUAACAGACCUCGGAUGUUACUCCUGUAUACAGGGUGAAAACUGUGUUCAAGUGGUGUUGGUUGAAGUAGCAGGUACAAGGAGGGACAUGCAGACGAUUUACAUCUGUGUUAGCGUAGCUGCUCUCCUUCUGCUGUGUGUUGGCGGCUACACCUGCAAGAAAUGCAUAGGAACAAAAAGGUAAAGGGCCACAGAAUUUUCCUCUCCGUCAUGUUCAUCUUCAACAGAGGGGAAAACAAACAAAAACUAAAGAAAAAAUGUAAAAGAGAAGCAAAAAAGCCUAAAAAGAACGCAAAGAAAUAAUAAUGAAUAAAUUCUACAAAUAAAUAAAUUAUUCACGGCUAAAAAGAAAAAAAUCAUUGUUAAUUCUGCUCUGUUACUUUUUAGUUUUGUAUAUAAUCCAACUUAAUUUCUUGUGGUUGUUUUUUCCUUGAAAGUUUCUUAGUGAACUGUUCCAUCAUUGUAACACGGGCUUGCUUUCUGGUUGUAUCAUUAUUAUGUUCUGUGAACUGUUUUGUACUAUCAUCAAAUAAAUCGAAGAAGAAAAUUGCAGGAUGAUGAUCAAUGGAGUUGCAACAUCUAUUAAACCUUAAUCAUAUUUGUAUAUAGCCUGUAGUGUAGCUCCAACACCCUCGAGCUCAGGAGGAAAAUGAAUGAGGCCACGCUGUUGAACAAAACAUGCUACAGAAUUAUUUCCAUAUAUCACCUGUACUGGCUGGUUAACGAGACACACAACAACAAUCCAAAAAAAAGAAACAAAUUCACACCUCUUUUGUUACACGGCAUUUUGAGAUCCCACUCUACUUUCUAGUCUUUCACUUUGGACUGGCUUCAAGUUUUUCUUUAUUCAAGGAUUAAAAUGGGGUUUUGGCAGGCAAACACAGUCCAAACAUCAGUGACAGAACCAAUCAAAAGCUAUUUUAUUUUAAAUUUUCUCUCUGUACUUGUUGUAAAAAAAUUAAAAUAAAAAAAUACUGCCCGAACUUACGUACAUAGACAUCUGGCAGCUGUUGUGUGAAGGUUAAUAGAGCAAAGCAUUCUGUUACAUGCAUGAAACUGUUGGUUUUGUGGUUUUCUUCUGUGAAGCUUAAAGGGUUUACUAAAACACUGCAGGUAGCAGCUUGCAUUGUUAGAGAUGCUGGUGAAGAUGCACGCUGCCAGGUGGAGUUUCGUUUUUGCCCUGUGUUUCAUCUGUGUGUCUCCAAAUGAUGAAAAAUCUUGUGGGGAUUCAGAAGACUUCUGUGAGAAGCUCAGUCUGACCGUUUCAAUUGGCACGUCUGCGUUACUACCAUGCACCGCUCGACCAACCAGCUCCAAGUGGGUGACAUGGAGCCACGCUGCCACAAAGCAGGCAGAGAUGGUCCGGCUUUCAUCUGAAGGGCAUGUUAAGUUCCUGGACCCCAGAAAUGGCCGAGUCAAAGUCUUUUCAAACCAGCAAAGAGACGGGAACUACUCCAUCAAAAUCGAUGAGCUUGAAAUAUCUGACCUAGGAUGUUACCGCUGUGGGUGGCGGUGUGUUCAAGUGCAAGUGAUGGAAAGUCGUUCAAGCCAAGGCUUCCAGCCACUGAUUUCCAUUGUUACUCGUGUGGCUGCUGUCCUUCUGCUGUGUGUUGGUUGCUACUGCUGCUACAAAUGCAUUUCUCACUGUAACAAUAAAACAAAGGACAGUGGAAACAGUCCCACAACUGCAGGUAGUGAGGGAGCAGAAAAAUGAAGAGCUACUCAAAACUUCCUCCUCCUCACUUUCAUCUUUAUAAGAAGAAAAAAAAAGAAGAAUCAAAGAAGAAGCAGAAGACAAAAGACAAGCACGAAGAAUUAUUUAGCUAAUUGUGCAGAUAAAAAAGAAAAUUUGAUUGUUAACUCUGUUGUAGCAUUAAGUUACCCUGAUCUAAUUUCAGUUUUUUUCCUUACAAACAUCAUUAUGUUUAUAAAAGAAAUAGAAAAUAAAUCAGUGUAAAUUCACACCGGUAUUUGUCUUCCUUUUUCCCUGGAUAAUUAUAAAGUAG